rnacentral:ncRNA from 2 species
GGGGCUCAUUGACACGGCUGUCAAGACUGCUGAGACUGGAUACAUCCAGCGGCGGCUGAUCAAGUCCAUGGAGUCAGUGAUGGUGAAGUACGACGCGACUGUGCGGAACUCCAUCAACCAGGUGGUGCAGCUGCGCUACGGCGAAGACGGCCUGGCAGGCGAGAGCGUUGAGUUCCAGAACCUGGCUACGCUUAAGCCUUCCAACAAGGCUUUUGAGAAGAAGUGAGGAGGCGGGCAGGCGGGUG